AGGGAAUUUUCCACAAUGGACGAAAGUCUGAUGGAGCAACGCCGCGUGAACGAUGAAGGCUCUCGGGUCGUAAAGUUCUGUUGUUAGGGACGAACAAGUGCCGUUCGAACAGGGCGGCGCCUUGACGGUACCUAACGAGAAAGCCACGGCUAACUACGUGCCAGCAGCCGCGGUAAUACGUAGGUGGCAAGCGUUGUCCGGAAUUAUUGGGCGUAAAGCGCGCGCAGGCGGUUAUGUAAGUUUGAUGUAAAAGCCCGGGGCUCAACCUCGGUCCGCAUUGGAAACUGCGUAACUUGAGUGCAGAAGAGGAAAGUGGUAUUCCACGUGUAGCGGUGAAAUGCGUAGAGAUGUGGAGGAACACCAGUGGCGAAGGCGACUUUCUGGUCUGUAACUGACGCUGAGGCGCGAAAGCGUGGGGAGCAAAC
rnacentral:rRNA from 1 species